rnacentral:rRNA from 1 species
UACGUAGGUGGCAAGCGUUGUCCGGAAUUAUUGGGCGUAAAGCGCGCGCAGGCGGUCCUUUAAGUCUGAUGUGAAAGCCCACGGCUCAACCGUGGAGGGUCAUUGGAAACUGGGGGACUUGAGUGCAGGAGAGAAGAGUGGAAUUCCACGUGUAGCGGUGAAAUGCGCAGAUAUCAGGAGGAACACCGGUGGCGAAGGCGGGUCUCUGGGCCGAUACUGACGCUGAGGCACGAAAGCGUGGGGAGCAAACAGG